GACUACCAAGAAAAUUUUAAAAAAAAACUUUCAUCAUCUUCCGAAGAAUCCUGCACACUGAUUGCAAGAGACCUUCCAACACAUCUGGAUGUACACUAAUGGAACAUGGUUUUAAAGAGUUUCCCGGAGUGCCUUCAAGCAAAUAUAUAACUUCAUUUGAACAGAAACUUGCUGAAUAAGUGCCCAGCGUUCCAGAAGGCAUUUACAGGAUAUCUUCGUGUCUUAUCUAUGCAGUACGCCCCCUGGUGACACAUUGCUACAUCCGGGUGAUAUACUGACAGCUCUCUAUCUAACUGCAUGCGGUUCAUUGGAGAUUGUUACAGUAAAAUAUUUGGUACAGCGAUAUGAGGAUGGUUAGAUACUGCAGCCACGAGAAUCAUUGAAACUUACGUUGCCAACCUUACAGAUAGUGGACCCAGCAUAAAGACGUAUUACAUCACAGCGUUAUAUUUUACGUUUACGUAACUGAUGUCAACAGGAUUCGGAAACGUGUCACCAAAUACCAAUGUAAUUGACAUGGCGGUUUGUUUGUACAGACUUUCUGUGAAUCAAGUAGUUUACCGGUGAUGACAUUCGGGGAUUUCCGUGAGAUUACGUAAUUCUCCGUGUGUGAUAUCGGAAUCCUUCUGUCAUGAUAGGUAAAGAUGAUAUAUUUGGUGGUGACUGCAGUGACGUGGAAUGCUCGGGAAAAUCGUUCUAUUUUGUGCGUGCCCUUAGUUACUGUGAUAUUGACAAGAUAGAGUUACACGUGCUGAAAGAAACAAUGGAUAUAUAACCAGAAUUUUCAAAAAGAAUUAAUGGGUAAAAUACAAGUGACAUUCAAUCUUAAGCUCGACGAAUGGGACCACAGAUCGGAGAAGAUGAGCCGACGUCUAGAGCAUUCGAAUUUUCUCCGCUACCAGCAAAUAGUGGUAUAGAUACGGCGUUCAAAGACAGAUCAGUCAAGACGAACAGUUGACGGAUGUUUCAUUUCUUCAUCAAAUUCCAGCCAGUACGUCAAGGCUACAGUGUGUUUUCGGUGUAUCUAUAAGGUCAUUCUUAGAAACAUCAGACAGUUGAGCGCCCUCUGGUAGUCGGCGCAUUUCCAGCUUUGAGCGCCCUCUGAUAGUCGGCGCAUUUCCGGGAAGCUGGUGAUACAGCGCCAUCUGGAAAAAAUGAGACAGAUGUCACUGUCUAACCUCGAGGAAAUCGACUGCAAAUGAAAAAAUUUAGCAAAGUAUAC